CUUUAAGAAAUAUUGUAUAAAGAC
rnacentral:siRNA from 1 species